rnacentral:rRNA from 1 species
UACGUAGGGUGCAAGCGUUAAUCGGAAUUACUGGGCGUAAAGCGUGCGCAGGCGGUGAUGUAAGACAGUUGUGAAAUCCCCGGGCUCAACCUGGGAACUGCAUCUGUGACUGCAUCGCUGGAGUGCGGCAGAGGGGGAUGGAAUUCCGCGUGUAGCAGUGAAAUGCGUAGAUAUGCGGAGGAACACCGAUGGCGAAGGCAAUCCCCUGGGCCUGCACAUGACGCUCAUGCACGAAAGCGUGGGGAGCAAACAGG